rnacentral:rRNA from 1 species
AGGACGAACGCUGGCGGCGUGCUUAACACAUGCAAGUCGAGCGGAAAGGCCCUUCGGGGUACUCGAGCGGCGAACGGGUGAGUAACACGUGAGUAACCUGCCCUGGACUUUGGGAUAACCCUCGGAAACGGGGGCUAAUACCGAAUAUUACUGAUUCUCGCAUGGGGGUUGGUGGAAAGUUUUUCGGUCUGGGAUGGACUCGCGGCCUAUCAGCUUGUUGGUGGGGUAAUGGCCUACCAAGGCGACGACGGGUAGCC